GGCUCAUAGUGUAGUGGUUAGCACGUCUGCUUUACAACAGAAGGUCCUUGGUUCACACGCCAGGUGGAGCCA
rnacentral:tRNA from 1 species